rnacentral:lncRNA from 1 species
AUUAACCCCCGAACCGCCGCGAGCUGUCCCUAGCAGUGCCUUAGCCAGGGACCUGCUUGGCCAGCGACAGAUCCUUUGCUGCUCUGUCUGCCGGUUCUUGAGGUGAUCCUGAAGCUGUUGGUCCUGGGACCACAUUUUGAGAACCACUGCCCAAGAAAUAAGUGAUGCUCAGUAAUUAAUCCCUGAAUUAACGGAAAGUUGGAUUUUUAUCUACUUUGCAAUCUAGAAAGGGUACGAGGUCUAUUUAAGGUUUGCUUGCUAGAACAAUUCUCACUGAUCAGGGUGAGAAGGACCCGAAAUGGAGGGUGCGGGGUAAUCAGGGUAGGAAAGGAUAUUGCUGUGUUCAUGGAAAUAUCUUGGGAAAUGAGGAGUUGGGACCUCAUUUCUGUUGAGACCAAUGAGACGUGUGACUUGGUUUAAGCUGUCCGGUGGGGAAAGGAAGAGGUUUGAGAAAAUGGUGGGUGGCUAAGUGGUAGUUGAGGUGGAGGAAGAGGGCUUCCUGUCCCAGCCCAAGUCCCUGUUGGGAUAUAUGAAAUUUAGGGAUGUAUGACUAAGCCCUUAAUAUAACCGUAAGAGGAAAG